rnacentral:rRNA from 1 species
UGGGUAGGGGAGCGUUCUGUAAGCCUGUGAAGGUGGCCUGUGAGGGUUGCUGGAGGUAUCAGAAGUGCGAAUGCUGACAUAAGUAACGAUAAAGCGGGUGAAAAGCCCGCUCGCCGGAAGACCAAGGGUUCCUGUCCAACGUUAAUCGGGGCAGGGUGAGUCGACCCCUAAGGCGAGGCCGAAAGGCGUAGUCGAUGGGAAACGGGUUAAUAUUCCCGUACUUGGUGUUACUGCGAAGGGGGGACGGAGAAGGCUAUGUUGGCCGGGCGACGGUUGUCCCGGUUUAAGCGUGUAGGUGUGUGUUCCAGGUAAAUCCGGUUCACUUUAACACUGAGGCGUGAUGACGAGGCACUACGGUGCUGAAGCAACAAAUGCCCUGCUUCCAGGAAAAGCCUCUAAGCAUCAGGUAACAUCAAAUCGUACCCCAAACCGACACAGGUGGUCAGGUAGAGAAUACCAAGGCGCUUGAGAGAACUCGGGUGAAGGAACUAGGCAAAAUGGUGCCGUAACUUCGGGAGAAGGCACGCUGACACGUAGGUGAAGUGAUUUACUCAUGGAGCUGAAGUCAGUCGAAGAUACCAGCUGGCUGCAACUGUUUAUUAAAAACACAGCACUGUGCAAACACGAAAGUGGACGUAUACGGUGUGACGCCUGCCCGGUGCCGGAAGGUUAAUUGAUGGGGUCAGCGCAAGCGAAGCUCCUGAUCGAAGCCCCGGUAAACGGCGGCCGUAACUAUAACGGUCCUAAGGUAGCGAAAUUCCUUGUCGGGUAAGUUCCGACCUGCACGAAUGGCGUAAUGAUGGCCAGGCUGUCUCCACCCGAGACUCAGUGAAAUUGAACUCGCUGUGAAGAUGCAGUGUACCCGCGGCAAGACGGAAAGACCCCGUGAACCUUUACUAUAGCUUGACACUGAACAUUGAGCCUUGAUGUGUAGGAUAGGUGGGAGGCUUUGAAGUGUGGACGCCAGUCUGCAUGGAGCCGACCUUGAAAUACCACCCUUUAAUGUUUGAUGUUCUAACGUGGACCCGUUACCCGGGUUGCGGACAGUGUCUGGUGGGUAGUUUGACUGGGGCGGUCUCCUCCUAAAGAGUAACGGAGGAGCACGAAGGUUGGCUAAUCCUGGUCGGACAUCAGGAGGUUAGUGCAAUGGCAUAAGCCAGCUUGACUGCGAGCGUGACGGCGCGAGCAGGUGCGAAAGCAGGUCAUAGUGAUCCGGUGGUUCUGAAUGGAAGGGCCAUCGCUCAACGGAUAAAAGGUACUCCGGGGAUAACAGGCUGAUACCGCCCAAGAGUUCAUAUCGACGGCGGUGUUUGGCACCUCGAUGUCGGCUCAUCACAUCCUGGGGCUGAAGUAGGUCCCAAGGGUAUGGCUGUUCGCCAUUUAAAGUGGUACGCGAGCUGGGUUUAGAACGUCGUGAGACAGUUCGGUCCCUAUCUGCCGUGGGCGCUGGAGAACUGAGGGGGGCUGCUCCUAGUACGAGAGGACCGGAGUGGACGCAUCACUGGUGUUCGGGUUGUCAUGCCAAUGGCACUGCCCGGUAGCUAAAUGCGGAAGAGAUAAGUGCUGAAAGCAUCUAAGCACGAAACUUGCCCCGAGAUGAGUUCU